rnacentral:lncRNA from 1 species
GAAGGGCCUGUCCCAGUCGGCUUUACCCUAUCGACGCAGCUUCCCCACUUGGUUGAAGUUGACAUCUGACGACGUGAAGGAGCAGAUUUACAAACUGGCCAAGAAGGGCCUUACUCCUUCACAGAUCGGAUAAGGAUGCUAAAUUCCAUCUGAUUCUGAUAGAGAGCCAGAUUCACCGUUUGGCUCAAUAUUAUAAGACCAAGCGAGUCCUCCCUCCCAGUUGGAAAUAUGAAUCAUCUACAGCCUCUGCCCUGGUCGCAUAAAUUUGUCUGUGUACUCAAGCAAUAAAAUGAUUGUUUAACUAAAA